AUGAACCACCCCCGCCGGUGUCUGCAUAGCGGAUGGGGCGGGCGGCGGGGAGGAGCAUGUCGCGCGUGGAAAACUCCUGGUGUCAAAGUAGCCGCGGAACUCGUGACUCGAGCGGAAAAACACGGCCUCGUCCCCCUCGCUGGAGACAGGGGCAAUCACGAUACUCAGGCUGAGGUCGAUAUGGGUCGGAACCGGGCCGGGACCCCGCGAACGAGCGGCUCCGGAUCGCACAGGGGCGGGGGGGGGGGGCGGCCGCGUGGGGAGGGGGCCGGCGGCGGGAGGGUCGGCGCCCCGGCCCGCAGGCAGCCCCCGCCGCCCCCGGGGCCGCCCCCGCCGCCCCCCGCCCCGCGCGCCCCCCGCCCCGCGCGCCCCCCGCCCCGCGCCCCGCGCCCCCCGCGCCCGCCGCCGCCGCCCCGCGCCGCGCCCCCGCCCGCCCGCCGGCCCCCUCCCCCGCCGCUUCCUCUCGCUCUCCCAGCCCCUUCCCCCCACGUGUGGGUGACGUCAAAAUUCCGCGAAAAAGCCGCGUGGUGGCUCCCCGAGCAGAGGCGCGAUUCCGCCGCCCAGCGGCCCCCUCCCGGGCGCGCCGGGGGAGGGCGAGGCCCCGAGACGGCCGGUUCCUUUUCCUCCGGGAGGCCGGGCCCCGCCGACGCCGCGGGCCAGGCGCCCCCCGCCCCAAAUCUCACUGGAAAAUUUACUUUUAUAAAGCUCAUGCAUUUCCAGGGCUAUUUUCGGCCUCGUGAGGCGUGUCCUGCAGCUGAAUCAGACAGGAAGAGGGGGAAGUUUGGGUCUUUUCAGUCUUUAUUUUUUUCUCCAGGGGAGGGGCGCGCGAUGCGAGGUGGGUGCGCGCACGGCGGGCGCAGGCCUUCCCGACCCCCGCCUGCCGCAUCUGCCGCCUCCGCCCCCGGCACAGCCCCGGGCCGGGCUGACACGCACCGAAAGGGCCGUCUGCGCGCACAGGCCCGGCCGCCGCGGCCCCCGCGGGACCCCGAGCGCCCCAGAGCGGCGACGGGCUCCGGAGGCCGGUUCACACCUGGCGUCGCGGGCCCGGGCGCGGGGCGCCUUCCUCUGGCCGGUCCCCACCUGCCUUCCGUGCCUCGCGCCCUCCAUCCCGACCUGUCUUUUUCCCCUCGCACGUUUCUCCGGUUCACUUUCGCUCCCUUCCUGGGACCCCGCCGCCCUCCCCCAGUUUCUCCUUCUGUACCUUCUCUAGUUCUUUGCUGGGGUCCCGGGAGCCAGGGGCUGAGACCGGGACACUUGCCAUCUACUUUUAAGCAACCGUCGGGGUUUUGCUUUGCAUGGUCUGGUCACCCCUCAAUAGAGAAACACAGGCACAGCGCUAGUCUUCGGAGAACUUAG
rnacentral:lncRNA from 1 species